rnacentral:sRNA from 1 species
GCCCCGUUUGAUCCCCGCACAGCUGGGAGGGUGGAGGGCUCUCUUCCCAUGUUAUGGACCGGGAAGUGAAGCCUCUUGGAAAGGGCGGGGCUCGCGCUUGCCUCACAGGGACAGAAGGAGCUACAAAGAUGAUGCAGUCCUUUGAAUCCCAGUCACCCAGGAGAGCUUUUCACAAACACAGACCCUUUCCUCGGACCCCAGGAUUUUGAUUUGGAAUCUGAGGAAGGGACCUCGCAUCUCUUCCUAUCAGCUCCCCACACAGCCAGCUCAUAGGCCAGUGAUGAAGCCCUCAUCACUCAAGUGUGGGGAGGAGGACUUGAGUUGCAGAUGUGAAGCUCCUGACACGUAGCAGGCACAGGACACGUGUCGGCCUCCUCGCCAGCCCUGGAGAAGAUGGGUCAUCAGGACGGGACCGUGUGGCACAGCCUGCGGGCUUUGGAGCCAGGUAAACCUGGGCUGGGAAUCGUAGCUCUGCCUUGGCCUCUGUGAUCUUGGACAGGCAGCCCCACCUCCCUGAGACGCCAUUUCUCUACAACGGGAUCACACUGCCUGCCUCGUGGGAUUUCCGUGGGCACUCAGGGUGCACUGGAGCUGGGAGCAAAAGAGGCUCUGUGAGAGGAGGGCCAGUUCAGCCGCAGCGGGAGGACUGACAGAGGCCUGAUGGAGGAGUUGGUGGGGCUGCGUGAGGGCUCCUCAGGGGACCCUGUGACUCUGCAGGAGCUGUGGGGCCUGUGUCCCCGCAUCCGCCGAGGCAUCCGAGGUGGCCUGGAGUGGCUGAAGCAGAAGCUGUUCCGCCUGGGCGAGGACUGGUACUUCUUGAUGACCCUCGGGGUGCUCAUGGCCCUGAUCAGCUAUGCCAUGAACUUUGCCAUCGGGCGUGUGGUCCGAGGCUUCUCCCAGAGCAUCACACCCUCCUCUGGAGGUUCUGGAAUCCCGGAGCUGAAGACCAUGUUGGCGGGUGUGAUCUUGGAGGACUACCUGGAUAUCAAGAACUUUGGGGCCAAGGUGGUGGGCCUCUCCUGCACCCUGGCCACCGGCAGCACCCUGUUCCUGGGCAAAGUGGGCCCUUUCGUGCACCUGUCUGUGAUGAUCGCUGCCUACCUGGGCCGUGUGCGCACCACGACCAUAGGGGAGCCUGAGAACAAGAGCAAGCAAAACGAAAUGCUGGUGGCAGCGGCGGCAGUGGGCGUGGCCACAGUCUUUGGCGCUCCCUUCAGCGGUGUCCUGUUCAGCAUCGAGGUCAUGUCUUCCCACUUCUCUGUCUGGGAUUACUGGAGGGGCUUCUUUGCGGCCACCUGCGGGGCCUUCAUGUUCCGGCUCCUGGCGGUCUUCAACAGUGAGCAGGAGACCAUCACCUCCCUCUACAAGACCAGUUUCCGGGUGGACGUUCCCUUCGACCUGCCUGAGAUCUUCUUUUUUGUGGCGCUGGGUGGCAUCUGCGGCGUCCUGAGCUGCGCUUACCUCUUCUGUCAGCGAACCUUCCUCAGCUUCAUCAAGACCAAUCGGUUCAGCUCCAAACUGCUGGCCACCAGGAAAGGGAGGGGCAGCCCUAGAGCUCACCCACCCCCGACAGCAAGCCUGUGUACUCUGCUCUGGCCACCUUGCUUCUUGCCUCCAUCACCUACCCGCCUGGUGUGGGCCACUUCCUAGCUUCUCGGCUGUCCAUGAAGCAGCAUCUGGACUCGCUGUUCGACAACCACUCCUGGGCGCUGAUGACCCAGAACUCCAGCCCACCCUGGCCCGAGGAGCUCGACCCCCAGCACCUGUGGUGGGAAUGGUACCACCCGCGGUUCACCAUCUUUGGGACCCUUGCCUUCUUCCUGGUUAUGAAGUUCUGGAUGCUGAUUCUGGCCACCACCAUCCCCAUGCCUGCCGGCUACUUCAUGCCCAUCUUCAUCCUUGGAGCUGCCAUCGGGCGCCUCUUGGGAGAGGCUCUUGCUGUCGCCUUCCCUGAGGGCAUCGUGGCUGGAGGGGUUACCAAUCCCAUCAUGCCCGGGGGGUAUGCUCUGGCAGGGGCUGCAGCCUUCUCAGGGGCUGUGACCCACACCAUCUCCACGGCACUGCUGGCCUUCGAGAUGACCGGCCAGAUAGUGCAUGCACUGCCCGUGCUGAUGGCAGUGCUGGCAGCCAACGCCAUUGCACAGAGCUGCCAGCCCUCCAUCUACGAUGGCACCAUCAUUGUCAAGAAGCUGCCAUACCUGCCACGGAUUCUGGGCCGCAACAUCGGCUCCCACCAUGUGAGGGUGGAGCACUUCAUGAACCGCAGCAUCACCACACUGGCCAAGGACACGCCGCUGGAGGAGGUGGUCAAGGUUGUGACCUCCACAGACGUGGCCGAGUAUCCCCUGGUGGAGAGCACAGAGUCCCAGAUCCUGGUGGGCAUCAUGCAGAGGGCCCAGCUGGUACAGGCCAUCCAGGCUGAGCCUCCUUCCGGGGCUCCUGGACACCAGCAGUGUCUCCAGGACAUCUUGGCUGCGGGCUGCCCCACGGAACCAGUGACCCUGACGCUAUUCUCAGAGACCACCUUGCACCAGGCACACAACCUCUUUAAGCUGUUGAACCUUCAGUCCCUCUUCGUGACGUCGCGGGGCAGAGCUGUGGGCUGCGUGUCCUGGGUGGAGAUGAAGAAAGCAAUUUCCAACCUGACAAAUCCGCCAGCCCCAAAGUGAGCCGGCCCAGCAAGAUGAAACAGGGCACCCCAGCUGCCCUGGUACUGAGGUUGGGCUGAGACCCUGCCUCUCUUCCCCCAUCACCACCUGCCCCUUCCUCCAGCCCAGCUCCAUUCUUUGGCAUAACAGGCAACUCUAACCUAGCCCGGAAGAAGAUGGCUCAUCCUGGGUGGGACGAUGGCUCCUGCCUUGAAAGACAAAAAUCCCACCUUGGACAGAGCUGAGUGUGAGAUGACAGAAAACCAGCAUCUGCCAGGUGCUCAGUGACUGGCCAUCACAUUAAUGAAUGACGAGAUUGGAGUACGCUGUCACCAAGGGCAGGCACAGACGCCCUCUGGGGUUGUCUGAUUCCCAGUGAGAGGCUCCUGAGAAAAAUAAAGCUGGUUCCCAGA